CUGAACCAUUGGUGGUCGGAGGUGCUGCCAAGCCCGAGGCCCAGUAGUGUCUGCUCUCUGCUCAGAAUAGAAGGAGGAUGCGCUGACUCUGUGGAAUCAGAUAAAUUUGAGUUAAAAUCUCAGCUCUCCACAUAGAAUCUGUGUGACCUUUGGGAUGUAGACAAGACCGGGGAAAAGCAAUGUGCAGUAACCAGAGCUCUUCUGACUGCAGCAUUUGAACUUACUGCUCUCUUGCCGGACUCCUCUGCUCAGUAAUAUCCAUCCAAAUUGUUAAGUUGUCUUUCGACUGGCAUCUAAAGUUAAGAUCCAAAGUCUGUGACAAAUGAAUUGAGUUUUAAUUUUAAAACCCUAAUCAAGUUUCUUUGACUUUCCUAAGUAGCAGAUGAUUCUAACCAAAGGCUACAUAGAAAAGAAGAGGAAACAAAGGCAACAAUUUGGGAUUCUCUUGCUGACUUUAUCCUUCUUGACCUGGAGAAAAGAAAAGAGAUAGAAAGGAAGAAGAAAGAUGGACGAUUCAUUUGCUCUCUCUCCUUUGGCUCACUUAGCAUUGAUGAAGGAAAGGAGUGUUCCGUGGGUGGUCCAAGAAUUCUGAACAGCCCUGGGCUGUAGGGCAGACAAAGGAUAGUAGUGUUUCUCCUUCUGAAACUCUCAGGCAGAAGUGUCUGGUGAAGCUUCCCCAUUUUGAUUUGGCUUGUUUGGAUCUGAUGUGGACUCAAUAGAGUAGCUAUGAAGAACAGAAUCUUGGACUGCUGUAGGUUCCAGAUUCACCUACGGUUGUGGGGGCAUCUUAACCUCUCCAAUCUGUCUGUGGGACUCUGUCUUUGUGCUUUGGGUCCGUAACUUAAGAGAUGGUCCUUACAUAAUAUCGCAGAUAAUUUUGAGUUUCAUCUCAACUUCAAACAUAUGCUUUACACUUUUAAUUAAUACCCUAUAACAACAAUUAUUUGUUUAGCUGAACCACCAUUUCUCUUUCCUACCUCCCAUUACAGAGGCUGUAAAAGCAAGCUACUUGUUUUCCAGCCUUUCAGUUCAGCUAAAAGACUUAAGGAGAAGUCUCCUGAGAGGCUCUAGGAGAGUUUUUCCCUCACUGAUACAUGAAAGGGAAAAUAUUAAGACAAGGCCUCUUUGAGGCAACAGACAUUAGGAUGAAAAGUCUAAAUAUCAAGUAUGGCAGAGCGAAGAUUGAAAAGAGCUGCAAUCCUUGAAGACUGACCACCUGAAUUAAAGUUACCUACUGCCAAUCUCCAACCUUUUUGUUAUGUGAGGAAAAUAAAUCCCUAUUUGUUUAUACUUACCCACAUAUUUACCAUUUACAGUAUUCUUCAUUCCUUUGUGUAGAUAUCAUUUUCCUUCUGUCCAAAAGACUUCCUUUAAUGUUUUUUGUAUGCACGUCUACUAGUGACAAAGUUUUUCGGCUUUCUAUGUCUGAAAAAGUCUUCAUUUUCCUUUCGUUUUUGAAAGGUGUUUUCACUGGGCAUAGAAUUCUAGGUUGACGGUAUUUUUCUUUCAGAACUUUAAAGAUAUCACUCUACCAAUUUCAUUCACUCUACCAACUUUCAUUGUGUCCAAUGAGGAGUCUGAUGUUAUUCUUAUCUUUGUUCCUCCAUAUGUAAAGCUUUAUUUUUCUUUGGCAGCUCUUAAGGUUUUCUUCUUGUUACUGGUUUUAAGGAAUUUGAUUAUCAUGUGCUUUGGUAUAGUUUUCAUUAUGUUACUUGUACUUGGGGUUUGUUGAGCUUCUUGGAUCUGUGCCUUUCUGGUUUUCACCAACUUUAGAGAAAUCUUGGCUUUUAUUUCUGCAGUUUUUUCUGCCCCCUACCCCUCCAUUCUCUCUUUCCUUCAGGGCUUCUAAAUACACAGGUAUUAGGCGGCUGGAAGUGGUCCCAAACCUAUUUCUUUACGUGUUCAUUUCCUCCCCAAAGCCCCAGUACGUAGUUGUAUAUUCUAGUUGUAAGUCCUUCUAGUUCUUCUGUGUGAGCCACUGCCAUGGCAUGGCUACUGACAGACGAUUGGUGUGGUUCUGAACCUGUGGAGCUGAACCCAGGACACUGAAGUGGAGCAUGCUGAACCUUAACCACUAGGCCCUCAGAGCUGCCUCUGUUUAUUUUGUUUUUAAGCUUAUUUCUCUCUGUGUGUCAUUUUCGAUAGUUUUCAGGUUCACUUCAAGUUCUUCAGUGUCUAAUCUGCUGUUAAUCCCAUCCAGUGUAUUUUUCAUCUCAGACAUUAUGCUUUUCAUUUCUAGAUAUUCUAUUUGGGUCUCCUUUUUAAUCUUCUGUGUUUCUAUUUAACAUGAUUAUGUUUUUCUCUACUUUCUUAAGCUUGUGGAAUAUAGUUAUAAUAAUCACUUUAAUAAUCAUAUUUACUAAUUCUAUCAUCUAUAUAAUUUCUUGUUGGCUUUCAAUGAAUUGAUUAUUUUCCUCAUUAUGGGCUAUAUUUUCCCUGCUUCUUUGCAUGGCUGGCAAUUUUUGAAUUAAAUGCCAGACAUUGUAAAUUUUUUCUUGUUCGCUGCUGGAUAUUCUUGUUUAAAAUUUUUUUUCUGGGGGCUGGCCCAGUGG
ensembl:lncRNA